UACGGGGGGGGCAAGCGUUGUUCGGAAUUACUGGGCGUAAAGGGCGCGUAGGCGGCCUUCUAAGUCAGACGUGAAAUCCCCCGGCUUAACCUGGGAACUGCGUCUGAUACUGGAUGGCUUGAAUCCGGGAGAGGGAUGCAGAAUUCCAGGUGUAGCGGUGAAAUGCGUAGAUAUCUGGAGGAAUACCGGUGGCGAAGGCGGCAUCCUGGACCGGCAUUGACGCUGAGGAGCGAAAGCCAGGGGAGCAAACGGG
rnacentral:rRNA from 1 species